GACGAACGCUGGCGGCGUGCUCAACACAUGCAAGUCGAACGGAGCGAAUGAAAGCUUGCUUUUAUGAGCUUAGUGGCAAACGGGUGAGUAACACGUAGACAACCUGCCGAUAGGAUGGGGACAACAUUCCGAAAGGAAUGCUAAUACCGAAUGGCGUGUAGGGGAGGCAUCUCCCCUAUAUGAAAGAUGGCCUCUGAAUAUGCUAUCACCUAUCGAUGGGUCUGCGUCUGAUUAGCUGGUAGGUAAGGUAACGGCUUACCUAGGCGACGAUCAGUAGCCGGUCUGAGAGGAUGAACGGCCACAUUGGGACUGAGACACGGCCCAGACUCCUACGGGAGGCAGCAGUGGGGAAUCUUCCGCAAUGGGCGCAAGCCUGACGGAGCAACGCCGCGUGAGUGAAGAAGGUCUUCGGAUCGUAAAGCUCUGUUGAAGGGGACGAACGUACGCAGUGCGAAU
rnacentral:rRNA from 1 species